UACGUAGGGGGCGAGCGUUUGUCCGGAAUUAUUUGGGCGUAAAGAGCGUGUAGGCGGCCAGGUAGGUCUGCUGUGAAAACUCGAGGCUCAACCUCGAGACGUCGGCGGAAACCAUCUGGCUAGAGUCCGGAAGAGGAGAGUGGAAUUCCUGGUGUAGCGGUGAAAUGCGCAGAUAUCAGGAAGAACACCCGUGGCGAAGGCGGCUCUCUGGGGACGGUACUGACGCUGAGACGCGAAAGCGUGGGGAGCGAACAGG
rnacentral:rRNA from 1 species